UUGUGAGGUUAAGCGACUAAGCGUACACGGUGGAUGCCCUGGCAGUCAGAGGCGAUGAAGGACGUGCUAAUCUGCGAUAAGCGUCGGUGAGGUGAUAUGAACCGUUAUAACCGGCGAUUUCCGAAUGGGGAAACCCAGUGUGUUUCGACACACUAUCAUUAACUGAAUCCAUAGGUUAAUGAGGCGAACCGGGGGAACUGAAACAUCUAAGUACCCCGAGGAAAAGAAAUCAACCGAGAUUCCCCCAGUAGCGGCGAGCGAACGGGGAGGAGCCCAGAGCCUGAAUCAGUGUGUGUGUUAGUGGAAGCGUCUGGAAAGGCGCGCGAUACAGGGUGACAGCCCCGUACACAAAAAUGCACAUAUUGUGAGCUCGAUGAGUAGGGCGGGACACGUGGUAUCCUGUCUGAAUAUGGGGGGACCAUCCUCCAAGGCUAAAUACUCCUGACUGACCGAUAGUGAACCAGUACCGUGAGGGAAAGGCGAAAAGAACCCCGGCGAGGGGAGUGAAAAAGAACCUGAAACCGUGUACGUACAAGCAGUGGGAGCCUCUUAAUGGGGUGACUGCGUACCUUUUGUAUAAUGGGUCAGCGACUUAUAUUCUGUAGCAAGGUUAACCGAAUAGGGGAGCCGAAGGGAAACCGAGUCUUAACUGGGCGUUAAGUUGCAGGGUAUAGACCCGAAACCCGGUGAUCUAGCCAUGGGCAGGUUGAAGGUUGGGUAACACUAACUGGAGGACCGAACCGACUAAUGUUGAAAAAUUAGCGGAUGACUUGUGGCUGGGGGUGAAAGGCCAAUCAAACCGGGAGAUAGCUGGUUCUCCCCGAAAGCUAUUUAGGUAGCGCCUCGUGAAUUCAUCUCCGGGGGUAGAGCACUGUUUCGGCAAGGGGGUCAUCCCGACUUACCAACCCGAUGCAAACUGCGAAUACCGGAGAAUGUUAUCACGGGAGACACACGGCGGGUGCUAACGUCCGUCGUGAAGAGGGAAACAACCCAGACCGCCAGCUAAGGUCCCAAAGUCAUGGUUAAGUGGGAAACGAUGUGGGAAGGCCCAGACAGCCAGGAUGUUGGCUUAGAAGCAGCCAUCAUUUAAAGAAAGCGUAAUAGCUCACUGGUCGAGUCGGCCUGCGCGGAAGAUGUAACGGGGCUAAACCAUGCACCGAAGCUGCGGCAGCGACGCUUAUGCGUUGUUGGGUAGGGGAGCGUUCUGUAAGCCUGUGAAGGUGUGCUGUGAGGCAUGCUGGAGGUAUCAGAAGUGCGAAUGCUGACAUAAGUAACGAUAAAGCGG
rnacentral:rRNA from 1 species